rnacentral:tRNA from 1 species
CGGAUGUAGCUCAGUUGGUUAGAGCGCUAGACUGUGACUCUGGAGGUCGCGGGUUCGAUCCCCGUCAUUC